UACGAAGGGGGCUAGCGUUGCUCGGAAUCACUGGGCGUAAAGGGUGCGUAGGCGGGUCUUUAAGUCAGGGGGGAAAUCCUGGAGCUCAACUCCAGAACUGCCUUUGAUACUGAAGAUCUUGAGUUCGGGAGAGGUGAGUGGAACUGCGAGUGUAGAGGUGAAAUUCGUAGAUAUUCGGAAGAACACCAGUGGCGAAGGCGGCUCACUGGCCCGGUACUGACGCUGAUGUGCGAAAGCGUGGGGAGCAAACAGG
rnacentral:rRNA from 1 species